CUGGGUAUAAAGCGUGUGCAGGCGGCUAUAUAUGUCUGGUGAGAAACCCCGGAUCUCAACUGGAAGAGCGCCUUGGAUACUGGAUCUCUUGAGCCUUGGAGAGGCAAGGGAAAUUCCAAGUGUAGCGGUGAAAUGUGUAUAUAUGGGGAAGCACCCCUGUGGAGAAGGCGCCUUUCUGCCCAAUUUCUGACGCUGAGGCGCGAAAGCGUGGGGAGCACACAGGAUUAUAUCCCCUGGUAGUCCACGCCGUAAAAGAUGAAUUCUAGGUGUUGGGAGUUGACCCCCUCAGUGCCGAAGCUAACGCAUUAAGCANNCCGCUGGGGAGUACGUC
rnacentral:rRNA from 1 species